AUUAUUUUUAAAUAAUUAUUGGCUAAGAUCAAAUGUAGUAUAUGUUCAUAUCAGUUUAAUAUCUGAUAGUCCUCUAUUGGAGGACAAUAUAUUAAAUGGACUUUGGAGCAGGGAGUUGGAAAAGGAGCUUGUCCGAGCAUAGAUCUGGUUGUGCGGUGCUUCCAGGAAUGUGCCCCCCCA
rnacentral:snRNA from 1 species